rnacentral:rRNA from 1 species
UACGAAGGGGGCGAGCGUUGUUCGGAUUUACUGGGCGUAAAGGGCGCGCAGGCGGUCUUGAAAGUCAGGCGUGAAAGCCCCGGGCUUAACCUGGGAAUUGCGCUUGAUACUCUGAGACUGGAGUACGGGAGAGGAGAGUGGAAUUCCCAGUGUAGAGGUGAAAUUCGUAGAUAUUGGGAAGAACACCGGUGGCGAAGGCGGUUCUCUGGGCCUUACCUGACGCUGAGGAGCGAAAGCGUGGGGAGCGAACAGG